GUCGAGAAUCUUCCGCAAUGCGCGAAAGCGUGACGGAGCGACACCGCGUGAUGGAUGAAGUCCUUCGGGGCGUAAACAUCUUUUAUAAAGGAGGAAAUUUUUGACGUUACUUUAUGAAUAAGGGGCUCCCAAUCUCGUGCCAGCAGGAGCGGUAAUACGAGAGCCUCAAGCGUUAUCCGGAAUCAUUGGGCGUAAAGGGUGCGUAGGUGGUUGGAUUAGUCUCCCAUUAAAACUUCGAGCUUAACUCGAAAAGAGCGGGGGAAACGGUCAAACUAGAGUAUGUGAGAGGUGUGUAACUCAUGGUGUAGGGGUGAUAUCCGUUGAUAUCAUGGGGAACACCAAAAGCGAAGGCAGCACACUGGCACAUCACUGACACUGAGGCACGAAACCUAAGGUAGCGAAUGGGAUUAGAAACCCGGGUAGUCC
rnacentral:rRNA from 1 species